GAAGACGAGCCAGAUUUUCUAGAAGAUGAUAUAUUCCAUCUGGUCCAGGUGUUUUGAUCGCGCGCAGGGGACAUCUUGUCGAAUUCUUUUCCAGACAUAAUACUUACACCCCAAAUGUAACUGCGAUUUGUUUGAGGAAAGGUGCAACUUACCCAAUGUCUUGGGGGAAAAAUUGUGGCAACUAUAUUGCAAAAUUUUGGUGUGCCAUGGCCGCAAUGAUGUAUUGUAACUAAAGUAAAUCGAUAUGUGUGUUGCAUCAAAAUAGUUUGGCAUUU
rnacentral:sRNA from 1 species